UACGAACUGUGCAAACGUUAUUCGGAAUCACUGGGCUUAAAGGGUGCGUAGGCGGCUUGUUAAGUAGGGUGUGAAAGCCCCCGGCUCAACCGGGGGAAUUGCGCCCUAAACUGGCGAGCUGGAGUGGGAUAGGGGUGUGUGGAACUUCCGGUGGAGCGGUGAAAUGUGUUGAUAUCGGAAGGAACGCCGGUGGCGAAAGCGACACACUGGGUCUCAACUGACGCUGAGGCACGGAAAGCCAGGGGAGCAAACGGG
rnacentral:rRNA from 1 species